rnacentral:rRNA from 1 species
UGAGACACGGACCAGACUCCUACGGGAGGCAGCAGUAAGGAAUAUUGGUCAAUGGAGGCAACUCUGAACCAGCCAUGCCGCGUGCAGGAUGACUGCCCUAUGGGUUGUAAACUGCUUUUGUCAGGGAAUAAACCUUUCUACGUGUAGGAAGCUGAAUGUACCUGAAGAAUAAGGAUCGGCUAACUCCGUGCCAGCAGCCGCGGUAAUACGGAGGAUCCAAGCGUUAUCCGGAUUUAUUGGGUUUAAAGGGUGCGUAGGCGGUCCUAUAAGUCAGUGGUGAAAGACGGCAGCUUAACUGUCGCAGUGCCUUUGAUACUGUAGGACUUGAAUCUAUUUGAAGUGGGCGGAAUAAGACAAGUAGCGGUGAAAUGCAUAGAUAUGUCUUAGAACUCCGAUUGCGAAGGCAGCUCA